GUAUGCAAGUGUUUGUGCCAGUAUAAUCUAGGGCAAGCUGUUUUCUUCAUGUGUGAAGACCUGCAGAAAGUGGCAGCCAUGAGUCAAGUGGAUCAGUCCCAGUCAGUACUUUUCAAAGUACUGAGGAAAUUUUGGAUUGGAUCGCUUCACAAGUCAAUGAAGAAGACAGAUUUUCCAUCCGUGUGUCAAGAACUGAUCUUUUCAGCAGAAGCAUGCAACAAUGGCAGCGGCAGAAGAAGACAUCACCCAAAUGUAGACUUAAGGUCACAUUCUUUGGCGAGGCAGGUGUCGAUACUGCGGCCCUGAGCAGAGAAUUCCUCACAGAAAUGCUUGCAGAGAUUGAAAACAGACUCUUUGUUGGAAGGCCAGAUAAAGGGAAGAAUCCUGUUUAUUGUCUCAACAGUUUGGACUCUAGACUCUUCAGGUGCACAGUGGAAUUAAUUGAGUGCAGGAGAGGUCAUGGCCACUAGCCUGGCACAAGGAGGACCUUGUCCUAACUUCAUGUGCGAGUGGUGCUUCAGAUAGCUCUGCUCCGGUGACGCUGACAGCAUUGUAGUGUCUGCCAGUGAUGUCACAGAUUUAGAACUGUCGCUGCUUGUUGAGAGGAUAAACAACGCCACGAAUGACAACAUCAGUGACCUGGUUGAUGAUAUUGUGGCCUGCACAUACACUGGAGUUGUGUCCACUGAAAAAAGGGAAAGCAUGAUAAGAACUGUCAUACUUCACGUCACCAUGAGACUCGUCCCCAUGCCUGACCAGCUCAGGAAAGGCCUGAUGCUGUGUGAUCUCAUGAACAGUCAUCAAGAUCUCUGCCAAAAACUGUUUAUUCCAGGGGAAGAUGUUGAGGCUGAUGCUGCCUUCCUCCUAGAGAACACCCGUCCUGUCUAUAGUGAAAUUGGUUCUGCCAAGCACCAAAAGGAAGUACAUAUCAUGAACUUUCUUCAAGACUACCUACAGGAAAUUGAAGACUCUGAACACGAGGGCCCCAGCAACAGCAGUGUUACUCCAGAAGGCUUGACAGUAGGGCGCAUCAUGCAGUGGAUGACUGGACAACGAAACAAGCCUGUUCAGUCAAGCGAGAAGAAGGAGUUCAUCAUAAAUAUACAA